rnacentral:rRNA from 1 species
CGAACGCUGGCGGCGUGCUUACCACAUGCAAGUCGAACGAAGAGCGAUGGAAGCUUGCUUCUAUCAAUCUUAGUGGCGAACGGGUGAGUAACGCGUAAUCAACCUGCCCUUCAGAGGGGGACAACAGUUGGAAACGACUGCUAAUACCGCAUACGAUCUAAUCUCGGCAUCGAGGAUAGAUGAAAGGUGGCCUCUACAUGUAAGCUAUCACUGAAGGAGGGGAUUGCGUCUGAUUAGCUAGUUGGAGGGGUAACGGCCCACCAAGGCGAUGAUCAGUAGCCGGUCUGAGAGGAUGAACGGCCACAUUGGGACUGAGACACGGCCCAGACUCCUACGGGAGGCAGCAGUGGGGAAUCUUCCGCAAUGGACGAAAGUCUGACGGAGCAACGCCGCGUGAGUGAUGACGGCCUUCGGGUUGUAAAGCUCUGUUAAUCGGGACGAAAGGCCUUCUUGCGAACAGUUAGAAGGAUUGACGGUACCGGAAUAGAAAGCCACGGCUAACUACGUG